rnacentral:rRNA from 1 species
AAUUUUCGGACAUAGUGCGCUAAGGUUGUAUGUCUAAAGGGAAACAGCCCAGAACAAGAGUUAAGGUUCCAAAAUUAAUGUUAAGUGAAAUUAAGGAAGUUUCUAUUAAAUACGACUAGUAAAUAGGCUUAGAGGCGGCCAAUUUUUGAAGACCUCGUAACAGAACACUGGUUCAGUAAAUAGCUUCUAAUAUUGUUAUGCUUUGUAAGCUACAAGAGUAUUAGAAUCUUAUUUAUAACGAUAGACGGCGCCGAGGAUAUAACGGAUCUAAACAAUAUACCGACACCUUGUCCGCAUUACAAGAGCAAAUUUUGCUCUUGUUCUUUGCGGGGUAGCAGAACGUUGGGCAGAUAUUAGACUUUAUCUUUUCAAGAUAAAGGAGCCUAUAAAUAUACCCCAAGUGAUAAUGCUGACAUGAGUAACGAAAAAGGGUAACCAAGAAGAGGAUAACUCAGAAGAGGAUAACUCAGAAGAGGAUAACUCAGAAGAGGAUAACUCAGAAGAGGAUAACUCAGAACGGUAAGUCCUCGCCUUAAGCUUAUGGUUUUAUUAAAGUAACGGCCUCUAAGUUUAAAUUUUAGCCUAUAAGUUCCAAUAAUCCUAAUGGAUGUAACGAUGAGAAAAAACUUAUGCCGGGGAAGAUAUGGCGGUGAAAACCUUAUUAAAGUGAAUAAGGUUCUGGAAAACAUCGUUAGGUAGGUUGACCCUGGAUAGAUAACCGUACCUAGAAACUACCACAAGUAA